GCCCCUGCCUGCCACACCAAGCAUUAGGCCACCAGGAAGACCCCCAUCUGCAAGCAAGCAGGGAGAAAGAGAAGUUUCUUCAGGACAUAACUGAUGCUGAGAAGUAUUUUAUUGGCUUAAUUUACCAUCGUGAAGAGAAAAGGUGGCGUUGGAUCAACAACUCUGUGUUCAACGGCAAGUACGUGAACAUCCCACAGUUUCCUGGGGAUCUUGGUUUGCUUCAAAAGACCAAACCUGAGAUUGGUGGGUUCACCCUGGAAUAGCUCAAACGCUGACACUUGACUCUGUUCUGCUCUUCUCCUUUCUUCCAACCCAUCUAUUCCCUGAGACACAUUUUAAUAAAUGUUUUCUUAUGAAAGAGAUCAAACUUUCAUAAGGAGAGAGAAGAGU
rnacentral:sRNA from 1 species